rnacentral:lncRNA from 1 species
UUUCUGUUCAUUUCUACAGGAGAGACCACUAGAAUUUGUGUCCUCUACAAUUUUUCCACAAAGUGAAAGAGGAUAGAAGGAAUUUUUUUAGGGAAAAAGAAAUGCAAAUGAAGACAACAGCUACCACAGACAGCAGCUCUGAUAGGCUCCUUCUGUUCUCAGUAGUUAUCCAGAUCUAUUUUCUUCAUACACAAAUCCCAGAAUUCCUGCUUUGGAGAAACAAAGAUGACUUCAGUGAAUGGAUGUCUCCAUGCCUUCCUACUUUUGUAAAUGAUCUGUUGUCAGAUGAUGAGCACCUGAUCAUCUCCAGUUGUGGGAUCUCAGAGAUGUAUGGCAAUGUGUCUGAAGUGCAGUGGAUUAGCUGCUUUUGAGGUACUGAUGAGCAAAAAUACCAGAGCAAUCUACCCCCAUAUCACCUCCAAAAGAGAGAAUUAAAACAAGAAAAGUUCCAAAUUUCAAAUUGUGUAUGUAACAGUUGUAUUGUAAUAUUGCUUAGAAAGCCUGCUUAGAUCUUGAGAACUGGCCAGUCGAGGGGAGCUUCCAGUCUGUGUGGAUCAGAUGAGACAAGACCCAGUUUCCAUCCUCAAGUUUAGUUCUUGGCUUGCUGCAGGUAUGAGUCUCACUAUCCUGGUGGGCUGCGCCCUGAGCUGUGCAUCAGUUUUCAGGGCAGUGAUCUACUGAAUGUAAAUACUGCAUCA